UACGAAGGGGGCUAGCGUUGCUCGGAAUCACUGGGCGUAAAGCGCACGUAGGCGGAUGUGUCAGUCAGGGGUGAAAUCCCGGAGCUCAACUUCGGAACUGCCUUUGAUACAGCACGUCUUGAGUCCGAUAGAGGUGGGUGGAAUUCCUAGUGUAGAGGUGAAAUUCGUAGAUAUUCGCAAGAACACCAGUGGCGAAGGCGGCUCACUGGCCCGGUACUGACGCUGAGGUGCGAAAGCGUGGGGAGCAAACAGG
rnacentral:rRNA from 1 species